rnacentral:tRNA from 1 species
GCGACCCGUUUAGCUCAGUCGGGAGAGAACUCGCCCUGUAAGCGAGUUGUCCCGGGUUCGAGUCCCAGACUGCCGCA